AGGGGGCUUCUUAUUUGGUUGGAGUUUUUAGAAGAGAGAGAGUGAAAAAAUAUUAAAAGAUACUUUUUAUAUUUUAUGAAAAUUGAAAACCCAUGAGGGACGUGGGUUUUGGUACUCCCAUAGGAUGAAAAUUGAUGAUGCUUUUUUUUUUUCAAAAAUAUCUUUUUAAGAUCCAUGGUUAAGAUUUUAUAAAAUAUUAAUGGAUGGUUAGGAU
rnacentral:lncRNA from 1 species